GACGAACGCUGGCGGCGUGCUUAACACAUGCAAGUCGAGCGGUAAGGCCCUUUCGGGGGUACACGAGCGGCGAACGGGUGAGUAACACGUGGGUGACCUGCCCUCAGCUCUGGGAUAAGCCCGGGAAACUGGGUCUAAUACCGGAUAUGACUCCACGGUGCAUGUCGUGGGGUGGAAAGCCUUGCGCGGCUGAGGAUGGGCCCGCGGCCUAUCAGCUUGUUGGUGGGGUGAUGGCCACCAAGGCGACGACGGGUAGCCGGCCUGAGAGGGCGACCGGCCACACUGGGACUGAGACACGGCCCAGACUCCUACGGGAGGCAGCAGUGGGGAAUCUUGCGCAAUGGGCGAAAGCCUGACGCAGCGACGCCGCGUGAGGGAUGACGGCCUCGG
rnacentral:rRNA from 1 species